rnacentral:rRNA from 1 species
UACGGAAGGCAGCAGUGGGGAAUAUUGCACAAUGGGCGCAAGCCUGAUGCAGCCAUGCCGCGUGUAUGAAGAAGGCCUUCGGGUUGUAAAGUACUUUUCAGUCGUGAGGAAGGUGUUAAGGUUAAUAACCUUAGCAAUUGACGUUAGCGACAGAAGAAGCACCGGCUAACUCCGUGCCAGCAGCCGCGGUAAUACGGAGGGUGCGAGCGUUAAUCGGAAUUACUGGGCGUAAAGGGCACGCAGGCGGUUAAUUAAGUUGGAUGUGAAAUCCCCGGGCUUAACCUGGGAAUGGCAUUCAAGACUGGUUAGCUAGAGUCUUGUAGAGGGGGUAGAAUUCCAUGUGUAGCGGUGAAAUGCGUAGAGAUGUGGAGGAAUACCGGUGGCGAAGGCGGCCCCUGGGACAAAGGCUGACGCUCAUGUGCGAAAGCGUGGGGAGCAAACAGGGAUUAGAUACC